rnacentral:lncRNA from 1 species
GUCGCGUCACCGAGGAGGUGAAGCCCGGAGGUGGAUCAUCGGUGCCUCCUGCCCUUGGGAUGAGAAAACCAAGGCACAGAAAACUCAAGUUGUUGCUUCAAGUUAUAUGGCCACUAAAUAGGAAAGCCAGGAUUUGAACCCAGUGUCCUAUUCUGCCUUUGUAUGGAUGCACAUAGCUUCAAAAAAUCCCACCUACGAAAACCCAAAUUCUCCCAAAGGGAAAGUGAGGCAGGAUUUGCUGCAGUAAAAGCACGACAUGCAUAGCUCUCCUGUGUGUGCGUGAUACCGGACAGUUUGCAAAAGACUUUCACGGCUCAGCGGCAUGAGGCCUCACGCCAUCUUUGUUGAGGAGCGACUGCUUCUAAGUAGGAGAGGGCCUGUGGCUGACCUGAGGGGACCCCUGGGCUCCGGGAGCUGGGACUCCAACACUGGGCUCCCACUGAAAAGGCCAGGCAUUUGCAUCAGAUAAACCACGUUUGCACCCUGGCUCCUUUCCUUUUUUUUGGUUUAAAUUUUUAUUUUAAAUUCAUUCUGGGCUUACAGGGGAGUUGCAAAGAGUGCAAUGAAUUCUUGUCUACCUUCACCUAGAUUCUUCAAAUGAUAACAUCUUACCCUAUUUGCUUUAUCCUUCUAUCAUCUAUCAUCCAUGCGUCUUUUGUUUUUCUGAAAUACUUGAGAGUAAGUUGAAACAUACAUAUGUUUAUUUUCGGAAACAUUUGAGACUAAGUUGCACAUACGCUAUUCCUUUACAAUAUCCAUAUGUAUUCCCCGAUACAAAGGAAUUCUUCUGCCCAACCACAAUCAAUGAUUAAAAUCAGGAAAUCGAUACAACCUGUGAUCUAAUCUACAGACUUGACUUAGAUUUUGCCAACUGUCCCAGUAACAUCCUCUAUAAAUAGCAGAAUAACAAUCAUCAUCGUUCCAGGCUCAUGCGGGGCUUUGAGACCAUUCUAGACCAUUCAUCUCAGCCACCCACCAACUGAGGCAGGUGCACGUGUGAGCUCAGCUGACCCACAGACUUACGAGAAAUGAUAAGUGGCUGUUGCCCUAACUCACCUAUCUUUGGGGUGAUUUUUCAUACAG